rnacentral:tRNA from 1 species
GGUAGAAUGGCUGAGAAUCAGGCGAUAGAUUGUAAAUCUAUUAAGGAGGAUUAACCUCUUCUACCA